UUUUCCAGGCAAGAGUACUGGAGUGGGGUGCCACUGCCUUCUCCACAACUUAGCGACUAAACAACAACAAAACCCCCAAUAUGGUAUCUGGAGAUUAGGUCUUUGGGAGGUGAUCUGGGAUAAGGCUAUGAACAUAGAACCCUCAUGAUGGAAUCAGUGCCCUAAGGAAUUAGAGAGUUUGUUUCUGGCUUCACCCUCUCCUUGUGAGGACAUGUGAGAUGGCAGCCAUCUGCAAGAACCUGACCAUACUGGUACCAUGAUCUCAGACUUCUGGCUUCCAGAACUGUGAGAAAAUACAUUUGUGUUGUUUAAGCCGCCCACUCUGUGGUACUUAGUUAUGACAGCCUAAGCUGAGUAAGACACUGACCAUGUAUCUUAAGGCAAAAAGAUUUUUUUUCAUGGUUUAUGAAACAAACUUUGGGUCCUUAGUAAUUGUCCAAACACUCAAGCAGAUAAAAAGUUCUUCCUAAGAAGUAUUUUUCCACACCCAAAGACAAUCUUUUGCUCCAUUCUAUUUAGCGGCAAAAAUACAGGCAACACUCAGUUUUCACAACUUUGUCAUCCACUCCUCUGAUUUAUAAUGGCAGGACAUGAAGCCCACCUGCCUAAGAUUACUUGGAGAACCUAUUAAAAUGCAGAUUUCUGGAUCUCAUUCAAGAUGAACUAAAUCAGAAUCUCUCAGGGGUGGGGCCCUGCAAUAUGGGUGGAGGCUGGAAUAUGUAUAUUAAAUGAGCAUCCUUUGCAAUUCCUAUACACACUGAAGGUUGGAAACUUCAGUAUGAAAACAACAUAGCUAUCCCGGAUCAGUGAUCCCAGACGAGCAGGCCUGUAAACACUUGUCACACUAGUCCUGCGAAAAGCCAAGUUGGAAUGUUUGAGCAGUGCCAGGUGGGACGCUCGGGAAAGGCCUGUUCGGCGAGCUACAUGUUGCUGCCCACCCAAGUUGUUCUGCUGUCUUGUUCCUGCUACACUUGCCUCUGGGAUGGUCCUUUUCUUUCCAUCCUGGGCAUACUCUUAUUUUGGCCCUUCACCAGUUCAAAUCUCUCCUAUCGUCUGUGGUCCAGCUUGCAUCACACCUCUGAAAACAGAGGGUAAAACUUCACAGGAUUAAUAACUAGAAAACCUGCAAGGUUCUGUCCACUUUGGAACCUUCCUGAAACUAUUCUGGACCAUUUUAGCCUGACCAUUUGUACUACGGCUAAUCUGCCCAUAAACCUAUACAUUUUUUCCCCCUCUCCUUGAUUUUGUCUCCUGUGAUAUUCAUGUCCCCUAAGUUCGAUUGAGAAUAAAUACCCUAUACUUCCUAAUUUUUCACACUUCUUAGCCACCUCUAUAGUGCCUGAUAUAGCACAUUAUAUGUUCAAAAAUACUUGUCAGCUGAUGCUAAUUCUACAGAUAAAGUGACUCACUCAGAAUGUUAGCUUCCUUAAGGUCACUGAAAGAAAGACAAAUGAGAGUUCAGAGGUUCUCUCAGCAGUGUUUCUCUACUUUACCAUGGUGUCUCUAGGGAACAAGAAAAAUGAAUAACAAGUUGCAAAUCAAAAUAGCUCUAUUAAAACACAUGCUUAGGAACUUCCCUGGUGGUCCAGUGGUUAAGACUUUGCCUUCCAAAGCAAGGGGUGUGGGUUUGAUCCCUGGUUAUGGAGUUAAGAUCCCAUGUGCAUUGUGGCCUAACCCUCUGCACCCCGCAAACCCAUAAAAACCAGAAACAAUAUUGUAACAAAUUUAAUAAAGAUUUAGAAAACGGUCUACAUCCCCCCAAAAAAAUUCUUAGAAAAGUAUGUGCUUAGCUUAUGUGUUGGAAAACUUUGGUUCUAUGAAAACAGUUUCUAAAAUGGCUCUUCGGAUUUAAUCACAAAUUCUUUAGCACUCAGCAACAAAUGACUACCAGUAAAGAAGUCACUUCAAACCUUUUAUUUAAAUGAUGUUAAGAAUUAACCAGCUACUCAUUCCAUCUAGCAAAGUAAACACCAUCACCAAUGUGAGCUAAAGCAGUAAGAGUAACAGUCAAAUUGCUUUAACUAUUUAGUUCACCACAAUGAAGCAGCAGAAGGUGCCCACUGGCUAGGUUCCAGUCUGUCCUUCUGUGAAGGGCAAAAAAAAAAAAAGGCAGAAGGAGCCUUGGAAGAUAAGUAGUGAGAAAAGCACAGAGGAGGGGGGACAAGUGUUAGAGAGCAAGCACCAUGUUAGUUCUCAUAUUGGGGAUGGUGAUAAUUGCAAGUAGUAAUGAAGGUGGGAAGCAGCAGGCACUGACAAAGGACAAGACAGUCAGAGAUGGAAAGUCAAAAAAUAGACAAACCCCACAGUCCCCCUGGCACACGGCACCUGUCAGUCAACGCAGCUGCCCCUGGAGACACCUGACAGCUACACUCUAUCCCUACAUGUGAGUGUGUCUGGAAAAAGGAAAG
ensembl:lncRNA